rnacentral:tRNA from 1 species
AUUUAUAUAAUUUAAUUAAAAUAUUAUAUUUUCAAUAUAAAUUUAACUUUAUUAGUUUAUAAAUA